rnacentral:rRNA from 1 species
UAUUGGUCAAUGGGCGCUAGCCUGAACCAGCCAAGUAGCGUGAAGGAUGACUGCCCUAUGGGUUGUAAACUUCUUUUAUAUGGGAAUAAAGUGCAGUAUGUAUACUGCUUUGCAUGUACCUUAUGAAUAAGGAUCGGCUAACUCCGUGCCAGCAGCCGCGGUAAGAAGGAGGAUACGAGCGUUAUCCGGAUUUACUUGGUUUAAAGGGAGCGGAGGCGGGUUGUAAAGUCAGUUGUGAAAGUUUGCGGCUCAACCGUAAAAUUGCAGUUGAUACUGGCAUCCUUGAGUACAGUAGAGGUAGGCGGAAUUCGUUGUGUAGCGGUGAAAUGCUUAGAUAUCACGAAGAACUCCGAUUGCGAAGGCAGCCUGCUGGACUGUAACUGACGCUGAUGCUCGAAAGUGUGGGUAUCAAACAG